rfam:Alkaliphilus metalliredigens QYMF, complete genome.
UUUUCCUUUAAUUAAGUCCUGUGAGACUGAAAGGGUUACGCAUACAAUGCGAUGAAUGUACAGAAUACAUGUUACCAUGUACUUUGUACUAUUUGUGUAUACCUUAACCUUUGGUCUCUGACCAAAGGUUUUUUGUUU